rnacentral:tRNA from 1 species
GGAGGUGUAUGAGUCCUGGUGGGCUCCGCGGUCUUCAAAACCGUUGAGACCGAGUACCUCGGUCUGGCGGGUUCGAUUCCCGUCCACCUCCGCCA